AACGCACAUUGCGCCCUUUGGUAUUCCGAAGGGCAUGCCUGUCCGAGCGUCAUUAUCAACCAUCAAGCUGGGCUUGCUGUUGGACCCGGUCGUGCCGAAUGUCGGUCACGACCGGUCUGCAAGGAAAUAGCGGUGUCGCGAUGGACCCCGGAUACAGUGAGCUCUCGGCAGCACGUAUCGCGGUGGCCCACCGGCCCGGCCUCGGGAUAUUUUCCAGAGUUGACCUCGGAUCAGGCAGGAAUACCCGCUGAACUUAA
rnacentral:misc_RNA from 1 species